UACGAAGGGGGCUAGCGUUGUUCGGAAUUACUGGGCGUAAAGGGCUCGUAGGUGGCCAACUAAGUCAUGCGUGAAAUCCCUCGGCUUAACCGGGGAACUGCGUCUGAUACUGGAUGGCUUGAAUCCGGGAGAGGGAUGCGGAAUUCCAGGUGUAGCGGUGAAAUGCGUAGAUAUCUGGAGGAACACCGGUGGCGAAGGCGGCAUCCUGGACCAAUAUUGACGCUGAGGAGCGAAAGCCAGGGGAGCAAACGGG
rnacentral:rRNA from 1 species